UUUUUUUUUUUUUUUUUUUGGAGACGGAGAUUUCCUCUUGUUGCCCAGGCUGGUGGCUCCCCUCCAUUGUGCAAUGAUGCAAUCUCGGCUCACUACAACCUUCACCUCUAGGCUUCAAGCAAUUCUCCUGCCUCAGCCUCCUAAGUAGCUGGGAUUACAGAGACCGGGUUCUUCCAAGUUGUCCAGGCUGGUCUUGAAUUCCUGGGGUGAAGCGAUCCUCCCACCUGGGCCUCCCAAAGUGCUGGGAUUACAGGCCUGAGCCACUGUGACUACCUGAUACGUCUCUUCUCUCUUGCUGCUUUCAAAAUCCUGUCUUUUGUGGGAGGGCAGCUGCCGAGCUCUGGACUUCUACGGGAUCAUCCACUGAGGACAGGAGGACCGGGCCCUCUACAGACACUGCUCUAGUACCAGUCCUGGCUCUUUGCCCCAGGAGCAAAUUAAAAGCUUGACGGCGUCUCCAGGUCUCUGGAUCUCUGUGCAUUGCUCUUCAUGCUUGUUCCUGUUCCUCAGAGGGUACUACCUCAGGCAGCUUCGAUUUUCAAUCAUGGAUCUGAUGACUUUCAACAAACUUUCCUGAGGAAAGUGCUGUUCUCACCAGAAGAGAUCUCAGGACAAAUGUAGACAGCCCUG
rnacentral:lncRNA from 1 species